GACGAACGCUGGCGGCGUGCCUAACACAUGCAAGUCGAACGGAAAGGCCCUGCUCUUGUGGGGUGCACGAUUGCGGAACGCGUGAGUAACACGUGAGUAUCAUGCCCUUGUAUGUGGGAUAAAAUCACGAGAAUGGGGCUAUUACAGGAUAGGAGCUCCCGCUGCGUGUGGGUGGAUGGAAAGAUUCGGCUGUGGGAGCUGGAUUCGCGGCUUAUCAGCUUGUUGGUGGAGUAGUGGCUUACCAAGGCUUUGACGGGUAGGCGGCCUGAGAGGGUGACCGGCCACAAUGGGACUGAGAGACGGAGCAGACUCGAACGGGAGGCAGUAGGGGGAAGUAUGACACAGUGAGCGGGAGCGUGAUGAGGAGACGCCGCGUGCGUGAUGACGUCUUUUGGGUUGAGAACAGCUUUCGCCUGUGACGAAGCGGGAGUGACGGUAACGAAUAAAGAAGCACCGGCUAACUACGUG
rnacentral:rRNA from 1 species